CUGACCAAAGGGAUAUUCCAGGCCAUAUGACAUGGUGAUCAGCACACACAGCUGGGGGAAGGAGGAGGAUGAGGGCACAUGUUUUGGAGUGGGAGUGAGCAAGCAGCCGUCUGGAGGUUAGUUGCUGUCUGAGGCUAAAUCAUGGCAACCUGGAAAAUGAGUUGUACUACGUGAAGAAUGUAUAAGAGUUUUUCCCCUCUCUGUGAAACUGAAAAGAUUAGUAUUAGAAACCUGACUUGGAUCCAGUCCAGUCUAUUGAUCUGCUUUCAGAAACACCUGAGCUUGAAGCAGGAUCUGCAGCUCUCUCACAGCCUUUGGACAGUUCAUCUGACACGCUGAGGAGGCUGCCCAGCAGCAGGUUGUCCAUGUUCCUGCUGUGAAAUACAAGAUGUGUGUCCUCCCUGACUCACUGCCACCAGACCUGACCCUGGCUGCUGUGGAUGUGUGAAUAAUACAGGAGUCUGCAGAUAAGCAGAGGUUUGUGAACAACAGAAGGCCACUGCUGCUGGGGAUAAUGUUCUCCCAGGAGAAGUGAAACUAUGCACCACAGGUCUGGUAUCUCAAGUACUAUGUCUCUGAGAAAAAGCUGACUCAUACUUCCAUAUCAUCAGUGGGACUGGUAAGAGCAAUUAUCUCAUUGGUGACAUUGUUUGAUGAUGUUUUCUAGCUGACACACCAGGUGUCACAGCAUUGCUACAAAGCCCCUUUACUAGUCAUGCCCAGCCUGGUGGCUUAGGGGUCCGACAUGUCUGGCAGUUGGAAUCACACAAUUAUAUCAAUAUUGGAGGAUAUCCUUCCCCUGCUGCAUGGUGUUAAGUGUCCAUGGUGUCUUCUUAGGACAAGAGACAGUAGUCUCCGUAGAGUGCAGCCUCACAUAUUUAAUCUGUCCCAAAACUGCACAGGAAAAUGAACACUGAUCCAGCUGGAAGGCUGUCAGCACAGUUUACUCACAGCUACUUGUUCCUUUACCACUACAUUGGGUCCUCUACUUCACUAUAAACAACUUAUGCAAUAAUUAUGGUUGAAAUUUAAUUCCUAUGAACACCUGAGGGCUGAAAUUAAAUACAUUUUUUAUUGUUUCCAAAAUA